UCUAAUAUGGCAGAUUAGUGCGUUGGAUUUAAACCCCAUUUAUAAAGUUUUGCCCUUUUUUUAGAA
rnacentral:tRNA from 1 species